rnacentral:rRNA from 1 species
AUUGAACGCUAGCGGGAUGCUUUACACAUGCAAGUCGAACGGCAGCGCGGACUUCGGUCUGGCGGCGAGUGGCGAACGGGUGAGUAAUGUAUCGGAACGUGCCCAGUAGCGGGGGAUAACUACGCGAAAGCGUAGCUAAUACCGCAUACGCCCUACGGGGGAAGGCGGGGGACCGAAAUACCUUGCAUUUUUGGGCGGUCCGAUAUCGUAUUAGCUAGUUGGUGAGGUAACGGCUCACCAAGGCGACGAUCCGUAGCUGGUUUGAGAGGACGACCAGCCACACUGGGACUGAGACACGGCCCAGACUCCUACGGGAGGCAGCAGUGGGGAAUUUUGGACAAUGGGGGCAACCCUGAUCCAGCCAUCCCGCGUGUGCGAUGAAGGCCUUCGGGUUGUAAAGCACUUUUGGCAGGAAAGAAACGUCGCGGGCUAAUACCCCGUGGAACUGACGGUACCUGCAGAAUAAGCACCGGCUAACUACGUG